GCUGUGCCAAUAGGCGUAUGACUAUCUAAUUAAACCGGUAUCACGUAAUCCCUCGUACCCCCCUCCCCCUCCUUAAAUCCCCUCUACCCCGCUAAACCCAACUAGCUAAACCCAACUCUCUCUCUGUUAUCCCGGUGGAAGCCCGCGCCCUCCCAGCCGUAAACUGCCUCGCUCGGUCUGCUUGUUGUUGUCUCACGGGGCUUGAGUGUGACGUUGUGACGGUAUCAUGGUUUGCAGGGCUCCGCCGCAGUUAGCAGCAUAAGAAGAGGAAGAAGCAGGACAGUAGCCGUGUGUACCAAGCAGCCAGUCCGGACUCUCUUCCAUCUCCUAUCUAUCGCAGCCAGAACAAGCAGAGCAUCCCGUCUCUCUCGUCCCCCAUCGCUACGCUCGGUGAUCAUCAGCUCGCGGAGCUCUCCGUUUGAUAAAGGGUAUUCAGACGAGGAGGCAUACAAAGGUUGUCACCAGGGACCCGGUAGGUGUUGUUGCCGCUGUAGUCCAUCGCUGAGGUUGUCUUAGAGACCAAGUGUGUUUCGCCACGGUGUUGCGUCGUUGCCAUGGGGAAACAGAACAGCAAGCUGAGGCCGGAGAUGCUUCAGGACCUGAGAGAGAACACCGAGUUCUCCGACCACGAACUACAGGAGUGGUACAAGGGCUUUCUGAAGGACUGUCCCAGCGGCAACCUGAACGUCGAGGAGUUCAAGAAGAUCUACGCCAACUUCUUCCCGUACGGAGAUGCCUCCAAGUUCGCCGAGCACGUCUUCCGAACGUUUGACACCAACAACGACGGCACCAUCGACUUCCGGGAGUUCAUCAUCGCGCUGAGUGUCACGUCACGGGGAAAGCUGGAGCAGAAACUGAAGUGGGCCUUCAGCAUGUAUGACUUGGAUGGGAAUGGGUACAUCAGCCGUGAUGAGAUGUUGGAGAUCGUACAGGCCAUUUAUAAGAUGGUGUCAUCUGUGAUGAAGAUGCCGGAGGAUGAGGCCACGCCGGAGAAGAGAACAGACAAGAUCUUCAGACAGAUGGACCUCAAUAAUGAUGGUAAACUGUCACUGGAAGAGUUCAUUAAAGGUGCCAAAAGUGAUCCCUCUAUCGUGCGGCUACUCCAGUGUGACCCCAGCUCCGCCUCCCAGUUCUAACCCCGCCCGCCCACCUAGCCUGCCACGCCCACCCUGAUUGCUAUGGAAAUAGUAACUCCAAUUAGUUUAUGAUGGUUCUCAUCACUCAUAUAUUUUUGGUGUACAAGAUGGAGGAAGAGUUUUAAAAGGAGAUGAAGCAAAAAUCAUGAUCAUUUUACUUUACUUUUUUUUUUAAAGAAAAUAAGGGACAUGCAUACAUUAUUAUUCAGAAGAUGAUACGACAACUGAGAAUACAAAAAACAAGCCGUUGUCCAAUGUGUUUUACUGUCUAUCUCUGGAUCCGGAAGGAUGGAAUUCUGGAAGAAUUGGAUGGAAUUCCGGAAGAAUGGGAUGGAAUUCCGGAAGAAUGGGAUGGAAUUCUGGAAGAAUGGGAUGGAAUUCCGGAAGAAUGGGAUGGAAUUCCGGAAGAAUGGGAUGGAAUUCCGGAAGAAUGGGAUGGAAUUCUGGAAGAAUGGGAUGGAAUUCCGGAAGAAUGGGAUGGAAUUCCGCUGAGCUCCCCUGCCUCACAACGUUAGAAAGUCCGUCUGCCAUUUUUACAAAGUCUGUUUAUUUUGGGGAAGAUAACGAAGGGAACAUUCCAUCCUGAGAACCAUGCAUGGGCCAUCUGUGUUCUAAUCAUUCUGUUCAAAAGAUUCCGUUCCCCUCCAAUUAAGGCACAGCUCCUCCAAUCCUCUUCCACUUUUAUAUCCAUAUUUAUGUGUACAUACAUGUGUAUAUGACAUUAUACGAAAUGAAUAGGCAAGUAUAUCUAUCUGUCUUCAUAACUCCUGCUGCGUUCAGAAGGCAGUAUCAUGUAGAUGUAUUGUUUGCUCUGAUUCAAUAUGGGAAUUGUCUAAUCGUUUGUUCAUAUAGGGAACAUGGGACCGGGACAUGAAGUUGUGAUGUUUCUGAUAUAUGAUCUUUCACUGCGGUAAAGAAAGCUAUUGUGUUUUUAUUACUGAUGUUAUAAAUGUAUUGUUAUUAAUGAUUAAUUUAAAUGUUGUAUUCUUAUAUUUUUUUUUUUGUACAUAAUAUUGUUUUCCUCAUGUUGUUUACUUGUAUUUAUUUAUUUUCAUUGUUGUGGUUUUUAAAUUUGAUUUGACAUUGAAGAUGAUUAUAACACAGUACUGGAGAGGAAUCCAUUGAAAGAAAGAGAAAGAAAUGACUGUUCCUUCUCAUAUGGACAUGGACUUGUCUUUGGGAACCGUCCGUCUCUGUCCAAGAUGGAAUGUGGAGAUUCCAAAAUUCGGCAUUGGAAGGGAAAAAUUUGAAUAUUCUAGAAUAUUUAUAUCAGGUGAUUCCAUAAUGCAUUUGAUCAAUGAAACCAGUAGCAACACAUCAUAUAAUUUGAGCCUCCACGAGUGUAUGCAUGCAUGUAUGUGUGUGUGUGUGUGUGUGUGUGUGUGUGUGUGUGUGUGUGUGUGUGUGUGUGUGUGUGUGUGUGUGUGUGUGUGUGUGUGUGUGUGUGUGUGUGUGUGUUUUGUUGUGUGCAUGUGUGUAUAGUAUGCAUGUGUACAGUUUGUGUGCAUGUCUGAGUGUGUGCAUGUGUACAGUUUGUGUGCAUGUCUGAGUGUGUGCAUGUGUACAGUUUGUGUGCAUGUCCAGGCUUUAAACUUUAACAGUAUUAUACAUUCGUGUUGUUUAUUAUUAAUAUGUCAUAUAAGUAUUUAAAGUUAGUUAUUUUAACACUUUUAUCGCAUCACUGAGCGGUGAAGUACAGUAGCCACGUCGUCACACGCUUCACUGCAUGGUGCACAAAACACGAAAACCCCCAUCACAAAACAGUUCCAUUUCAUAGCUCUACUUUCUUCAGCAGCCUACCAGACCGCACACAGAAGACACACCGACAUGCCGUCUUUGUGCACUCUUGGGCGUGUGUGUCACUUUGGGACAAACCCCCUUCCUCCCGCCUUCUGCCAGACACAGAGCACAACACACUAAGGGCUUGAUUAUCUCUAUCCCUGCUGGUCUUGAUUAUCUCUAUCCCAGCUAACCUUGAUUAUCUCUAACCCUGCUGGUCUUGAUGAUCUAUAUCCCUGCUGGUCUUGAUUAUCUCUAUCCCUGCUGGUCUAUAUUAUCUCUAUCCCUGCUGGUCUUGAUUAUCUCUAUCCCUGCUGGUCUAUAUUAUCUCUAUCCCUGCUGGUCUUGAUUAUCUCUAUCCCUGCUGGUCUUAAUUAAUGAUCUCUAUCCCUGCUGGUCUUAAUUAUCCCUAUCCCAGUGCUGUUCUUGAUUAUCUCUAUCCCAAUGCUGGUCUUGAUUAUCUCUAUCCCAGUGCUGUUCUUGAUUAUCUCUAUCCCAGUGCUGUUCUUGAUUAUCUCUGUCCCAGUGCUGGUCUUGAUUAUCUCUAUCCCAGUGCUGUUCUUGAUUAUCUCUGUCCCAGUGCUGGUCUUGAUUAUCUCUAUCCCAGUGCUGUUCUUGAUUAUCUCUAUCCCAGUGCUGUUCUUGAUUAUCUCUAUCCCAGUGCUGUUCUUGAUUAUCUCUAUCCAAGUGCUGUUCUUGAUUAUCUCUAUCCCAGUGCUGUUCUACCUUCCUUUUCAAAGUGUUAACCGAGACAGUAGAGAGUGGAAUUGUUUUAAGGCAAAGAUCACUUAGAGGUUGCAUUCCAAGUGAUGCCCUAUACCUUAUAGACUCCACUACUGGUGACAGUCAAGGCCCAGAGGACUCUGAAUGAAACUUUAGAAUAAGGGUAGGUAAUAAACCAUUAAUAAACCAUUAAUAAACCAUUUAUAAACCAUGAAUAAACCAUUUAUAAACCAUUAAUAAACUAUUUAUAAACCAUUUAUAAACCGUUUUCUCUCCAUGUAUUAAUCAUGACUCCCACAUGUGUAAAUGUCAAAUCAAAUCAAAUUGUAUUUGUCACAUACACAUGGUUAGCAGAUGUUAAUGCGAGUGUAGCAAAAUGCUUGUGCUUCUAGUUCCGACCACACAGUAAUAACCAACAAGAAAUCUACCCUAACAAUUUCACACAACAACUACCUUAUACACACACAAGUGUAAAGGAAUAAGAAUAUGUACAUAAAAAUAUAUGAAUGAAUGUCAGGAAGCAUAGUUAUUCAGACAUGUGUAUAUAUAGAUCCUUAAUCAUCCUGUGUUGUGCGUUGGUUCUAUCGCCAGGUAGCAACAAAUCAAAUCAAAUUUUAUUUGUCACAUACACAUGGUUAGCAGAUGUUAAUGCGAAAUGUAGCGAAAUGCUUGUGCUUCUAGUUCCGACAAUGCAGUGAUAACCAACAAGUAAUCUAGCUAACAAUUCCAAAAACUACUACCUUAUACACAGUGUAAGGGGAUAAAGAAUAUGUACAUAAAGAUAUAUGAAUGAGUGAUGGUACAGAGCGGUAUAGGCAAGAUACAGUAGAUGGUAUUGAGUGCAGUAUAUACAUAUGAGAUGAGUAUGUAAACAAAGUGGCAUAGUUAAAGUGGCUAGUGAUACAUGUAUUACAUAAGGAUGCAGUAGAUGAUAUAGAGUACAGUAUAUACGUAUACAUAUGAGAUGAAUAAUGUAGGGAACAUUAUAUUAGGUAGCAUUGUUUAAAGUGGCUAGUGAUACAUGUAUUACAUAAGGAUGCAGUAGAUGAUAUAGAGUACAGUAUAUACGUAUACAUAUGAGAUGAAUAAUGUAGGGAACAUUAUAUUAGGUAGCAUUGUUUAAAGUGGCUAGUGAUACAUGUAUUACAUAAAGAUGCAGUAGAUGAUAUAGAGUACAGUAUAUACGUAUACAUAUGAGAUGAAUAAUGUAGGGAACAUUAUAUUAGGUAACAUUGUUUAAAGUGGCCAGUGACAUAUUACACCGUUCACUCCAUGUUAUAUAGUAUUUAUUACAUAAAUGGCUUUCACUUUAUAUUAGGGGCUGCAAAAAUACCUUACUGAUGAUUAGUAAAUGGUUUACAAAUGUUGGAUUAAUGAUUAAUACAUGAUGAACACACACUUUAUAAACGCCUUAUAAAUUAUUUAUUACAGUCCCCUUAAAAUAAAGCGUCACCGACACGCCUAGUUUCCCACAAUGUGCACUGCACCUCUACUAUGGGCUCCCAGGGUCACUGCCCCCUGGUGGUUGGAUGGGCUCCCAGUUCACUGCCCCCUGGUGGUUGGAUGGGCUCCCAGUUCACUGCCCCCUGGUGGUUGGAUGGGCUCCCAGUUCACUGCCCCCUGGUGGUUGGAUGGGCUCCCAGUUCACUGCCCCCUGGUGGUUGGAUGGGCUCCCAGUUCACUGCCCCCUGGUGGUUGGAUGGGCUUCCAGGGUCACUGCCCCCUGGUGGUUGGAUGGGCUCCCAGGUCACUGCCCCCUGGUGGUUGGAUGGGCUCCCAGUUCACUGCCCCCUGGUGGUUGGAUGGGCUUCCAGGGUCACUGCCCCCUGGUGGUUGGAUGGGCUUCCAGGGUCACUGACCCCUGGUGGUUGGGUGGGCUUCCAGGGUCACUGACCCCUGGUGGUUGGAUGGGCUCCCAGUUCACUGCCCCCUGGUGGUUGGAUGGGCUUCCAGGGUCACUGCCCCCUGGUGGUUGGAUGGGCUUCCAGUUCACUGCCCCCUGGUGGUUGGAUGGGCUUCCAGGGUCACUGACCCCUGGUGGUUGGAUGGGCUUCCAGGGUCACUGACCCCUGGUGGUUGGGUGGGCUUCCAGGGUCACUGACCCCUGGUGGUUGGAUGGGCUUCCAGGGUCACUGACCCCUGGUGGUUGGAUGGGCUUCCAGGGUCACUGACCCCUGGUGGUUGGAUGUGAUUCCAGGGUCACCGCCCCCUGGUGGUUGGAUGGGCUUCCAGGAUCACUGCCCCCUGGUGGUUGGAUGGGCUUCCAGGGUCACUGACCCCUGGUGGUUGGAUGUGAUUCCAGGGUCACCGCCCCCUGGUGGUUGGAUGUGAUUCCAGGAUCACUGCCCCCUGGUGGUUGGAUGGGCUUCCAGGGUCACUGCCCCCUGGUUGUUGGGUGGGGAAUAUUUGCUGCUCCACUACUGCAAAAUUAUGGUAACGUUCCCAAAAUGUCCAGGUUUUCUAGAAAUCCAGAUUUUUUUUAAAGAUUCCCAGAUUUCCUGCUUAUUCCAGGAAUUCUUCUAAUUUGGAUUUCUGGAAAAACCUGGAGAAUUUGGAAAAGUUACCCGACACCGUCCUACCUACCCUUUUCUGUUCUAACUGUCUCAAACUAAUAACUUGAGUUGGAUCGAGAUUAAAAAUAAACAACUCUUUCUUCCUCCCUUGUUUCUGUUGCAUGGCAACCUCUAGUUGAGGAUGGAUUGUUCUGUUUUGAACCGAAAUCGAUAACAAAUAUACCUUCUGUGUUUCAAA